UUAUAGAUGAAAACAUGUUUUCACAGAGGAAUGACAACACUGAAAGGCUCAGUUCCCUCCAAAAUCUUCCCUCCUUUUCACAUCUCUGUAGGAUUUGCCAGCUCUUCUCUCAAGUUCCAAGCUGCUUACGUUCCCUGUGGGAGUCCAGUUGAGGAUUCAGUAAUAAAACCUGAUGGGAGAGGAUAAAAAUGAAGUCCAUAUUUAAUAUACAUGAAUUCCUGAGGUGGAAAAGCCAGCCUGUCUCCCAAGGUGCCACACGAUCCCACGUCUGCUCCUCUGUUUCAGGAAUUGGCCAUCCUGAGGUGGAGCUGAGGAUUUUUCUGUUGGCCAGAGCCGGGUGGGAGCAGCUCUGGCCCCUGUGCAGGGUGAUCCCAACAGCAUCUUCCACUGCCAGGGGCACCCAGAUCCCAAAUUUCUGCUCCCACAUGGUGUGGGCACAGUGGAUGUAGCCCUGCCCCUUUCACUGCCAUUCCCUCUGCUUACACAUUUAAUCACUGCCCAUUGUGGUCCUUCCAGUGCUGUCUGGCUCAACUUUGGCUGAAAAACCACACAAAAUUCACCAAAA